rnacentral:rRNA from 1 species
GACGAACGCUGGCGGCGUGCCUAAUACAUGCAAGUCGAACGAACCGCGACUAGGUGCUUGCACUUGGUCAAGGUGAGUGGCGAACGGGUGAGUAACACGUGGGUAACCUACCUCAUAGUGGGGGAUAACAGUCGGAAACGACUGCUAAUACCGCAUAGGACAUAGGAUCACAUGAUCCAGUGAGGAAAGGUGGCGCAAGCUAUCGCUAAGAGAUGGACCCGCGGUGCAUUAGCUAGUUGGUAGGGUAAAGGCCUACCAAGGCGAUGAUGCAUAGCCGACCUGAGAGGGUGAUCGGCCACAUUGGGACUGAGACACGGCCCAAACUCCUACGGGAGGCAGCAGUAGGGAAUCUUCCGCAAUGGACGCAAGUCUGACGGAGCAACGCCGCGUGAGUGAAGAAGGUCUUCGGAUCGUAAAGCUCUGUUGUUAGAGAAGAACAGCGCAUAGAGUAACUGUUAUGCGUGUGACGGUACCUAACCAGAAAGCCACGGCUAACUACGUG